rnacentral:rRNA from 1 species
UGGAAACGGUAGCUAAUACCGCAUAACGUCGCAAGACCAAAGAGGGGGACCUUCGGGCCUCUUGCCAUCGGAUGUGCCCAGAUGGGAUUAGCUAGUAGGUGGGGUAAAGGCUCACCUAGGCGACGAUCCCUAGCUGGUCUGAGAGGAUGACCAGCCACACUGGAACUGAGACACGGUCCAGACUCCUACGGGAGGCAGCAGUGGGGAAUAUUGCACAAUGGGCGCAAGCCUGAUGCAGCCAUGCCGCGUGUAUGAAGAAGGCCUUCGGGUUGUAAAGUACUUUCAGCGGGGAGGAAGGGAGUAAAGUUAAUACCUUUGCUCAUUGACGUUACCCGCAGAAGAAGCACCGGCUAACUCCGUGCCAGCAGCCGCGGUAAUACGGAGGGUGCAAGCGUUAAUCGGAAUUACUGGGCGUAAAGCGCACGCAGGCGGUUUGUUAAGUCAGAUGUGAA